rnacentral:rRNA from 1 species
GGGGGGGGGGGGGGGGGGGCGGGAGGGGGGCGGGUCGAACGGAAGGGCGCGGCUUGGGGGGGGGGCGCGAGGGGCGAACGGGUGAGUAACACGUGAGUAACCUGCCCUUGACUUGGGGAUAACUGCAGGAAACUGGGGCUAAUACCGGAUAGGAGCGCCUGCUGCAUGGUGGGGGUUGGAAAGUGUCGGCGGUUGGGGAUGGACUCGCGGCUUAUCAGCUUGUUGGUGGGGUAGUGGCUUACCAAGGCUUUGACGGGUAGCCGGCCUGAGAGGGUGACCGGCCACAUUGGGACUGAGAUACGGCCCAGACUCCUACGGGAGGCAGCAGUGGGGAAUAUUGCACAAUGGGCGGAAGCCUGAUGCAGCAACGCCGCGUGCGGGAUGACGGCCUUCGGGUUGUAAACCGCUUUCGCCUGUGACGAAGCGUGAGUGACGGUAAUGGGUAAAGAAGCACCGGCUAACUACGUG